UACGGAGGGUGCAAGCGUUAUCCGGAUUCACUGGGUUUAAAGGGAGCGUAGGUGGGGUGGUAAGUCAGUGGUGAAAUCUCCGGGCUUAACUUGGAAACUGCCGUUGAUACUAUCAUUCUUGAAUAUCGUGGAGGUAAGCGGAAUAUGUCAUGUAGCGGUGAAAUGCUUAGAUAUGACAUAGAACACCGAUUGCGAAGGCAGCUUGCUACACGAUCAUUGACACUGAGGCACGAAAGCGUGGGGAUCAAACAGG
rnacentral:rRNA from 1 species